UGUACCCAGGUAUGUUAUUCUCCUGCCUUUUGGACAUGUGGUUUAGCGUGCCUGGCAGGGCGGCAGGCAGUUCUUCUGGUUCUGUGUGUUUAUGCAGGUGCAGGACAUUCAGGACACACCGCCCUCCUGAGUAUUUUGGAGGGGCUUUUCAGAGCAGCCUACCCUGCAGUAUUUGAAGGGGCCGCCUAUAUGUGGCAUUUAGUGGGACAGCCCAGAAAAGGCAUUUCCUCAGGUUACUGGAAAUGGAGCAGUAAAGGGUUUGAAACUAAGUUAAACAUACCAGAGUGAGAAAUGUUUUAAUGACAGGCGAAAGAUGGAUGCUCAGAAAUACACUGUAAGAUAACAGCAUCAUGAACAACACUGCAUUAGACCAUUCACCACAUUUUCUGAACUUUUAUCAUAAGCUAUGUACUGUAUGUACUAAAAAUGUAUGGGUCAAAGAAGUUUCUUGAACAUACUAUGGACUAGACAUUGAAGACUCUUUUUCAAGACUAGACUCUUUUUCUCACAGUGCAAAAACAUUUUCAUGCUCCUGGAACUAAUAUUAAUAAUGAUCUGGAGGAGAUAGCAGUGGUGUGUCCAGAUGUUUUUGACUGGGUUGACCCAAGUGGGGCACUGACUUACGCAGGGGUGGCAUGAAGUACAUCCGUGCAUGCGUGAAUACACACACACACACACACACACACACACACACAUCAGAAAAGCAUUCAUUUACCAUUUCUCAUAUCUACUUUAAUUACUAACAUUACAGUUUCUUUGAAGCACAAUACAAAUGUAAUAUAAAGCUUCCAUACUUUCUUCUUUAAGUCCUCAAAAAGAAGUUCUCUAAAAGUAGGCUACAUACAAAAGAAAACAAUGCACAUUCAAAAAUACUCGUUAAAUAGCUGGUUUGAACUAAGGUCCCACCUCUGACUGGGUAGAUAGCCAAUGAUAGCUUAGGAUAAUGGGGUGGCACCUGGGAUGGCCAAUCAGAUUGCUAACCCUAAGCCACCCUAGGCCACUCCCUGGACAAGCACCUGGAAGAUAAACCUCCUUCAUGACUGCAAAUGAGAGGAAUGACCUAAUAAUAUUUGUUAAAUAUCUCAGUUGAAUGAAACGAGAUUACAGGCUUCUUGUUUGAUAUUAUUGGAAAAGGCACCUAGACAAAGGAGAGACUGCUAAUGAUGCAAGUACCAGGAGGGAUAAUUUUAAUGAUCUCUGAUUUGGACUAAUUCAACUGCAGGAAAUGUUCGCAUAUGCAAUGCUUAACAACAGCAAGGCAAGACAUAAUACAGUACACAUCAGUGGUAACAGGCUUUAUUGAGACAUGAGCAUAUCAUCUGCAUAACAAUUGAAGUCAAUAUUAUGUCAGCUGAUGAUAUGCCCCAAGGGUAGCAUGUCGAUAGAGUAUAAAAUUAGUUGAAUUGAACAACCUCACCAACUAGUUGUUUUAACCAGUUGCUGAGUUGCUCGAGUACCGGAGACAGGGAAUACCAACAACAAACAAUCCCAAAUAGUAACAGACUGCAUAAAUGUACAAUCUCUGUAUUUUUACACCUCCAGGACAAAUUGUUGUAUAACAUCCCAUUCUUUUUUAUAUGUCGUCAUGUAAUAUGUAUAAGUUUGUCAAAUGUAAACCCACCCCUUGUAUCUCUUAUUGACCAACCUACUUUGGGGGCGUUUCUGUGUGGAGUUCUCCCCCAUGUCUGUGCAUGUUUCCUUCCAAAGUCCAAAGACAUGCAGGUUACGUGAAUUAGCAACUCUAAAUUGCCCAUAGGUGUGAAUAUGAGUGUGAAUGGUUGCCUGUCUAUAUACAGAGUGUACACUGCCUCUUGCCCAGUGUGAGCUGAGAUAGGCUCCAGCUCCCCACAACCCUGCAAAGCAUUAGUGGGCAUAGAUAGUGGAUGGAUAUGGAAAACAAGGUUUCUUAUUUCCAGAUAUAAUUUUUGUCUCAUUGAGAUUGAACUGACCACUGUUGACCCAACUGUUGUUGAGAUGACUGCAACAUUUUCACAUCAUUUAGUUACUUUGCCAUACCAAAAUACCUAUGAAAAAGUCAUCUUUCCAACACAAAUUAAAUCCCUAUAGAGAAAUGUCAUUGUUUAUACUGAGAUAUACAAAGUCAUUUUGAGUACUCUCAACUUUUGUAAAGAUGACUGGUCAAAGUUCAGAUGGUAUCUUCACUAUUAGAGCAAAGUUGUGAUGUACUUGAUAUUUUCCUUACACAAAGUAUCAGAUCCCAGUUGCCUCCGUAUAAAUAGAACCAGACUGUUCAGGAUAAAAACAGGGCUUCCAGAUAGCCAGGGUCACAGUUCAUCUGGCAAAAGAACAUUGGUCAGCAGCAGCAGUAAUAAUAGGUGGACUAUGCCAUGGAUUCAUUGUCAGGAAGGCAGGAAAGAAGAAUAGCCUUGCCCUGCUUGGCUCACCCUGUUCUGCAAAAAGUUUCCGGGAUAAUGAAUUCCUCUGGUUUGGUCAGCUAACAGGAGAAAUGAGGAGAAAGGGUUAGGAGGACUAAAAGUAUGAGAGGGAAGGUCUGGGGAGUUUAUCCAGUAAGCACUUAGAGCGUUAACAAGCCCUCUGUAUUGUGGAUAAUUGCAGAUUACUGGUUAGAUAAGUGGAUUGACUAGAAACGGGGUAGUCCAGAAAUGCAUAUGCAUAAAAUAACAGAUUCAAGUUCAAGGUUUUAUCUUGUCCCUGAAUGUAGAGGAAAUUCAACAUGUACAAGUCUUCAGGAAUCCUGGUAUUUCAAUCAGAUAAACACGUUAAAAUACCAGAGGAAACUCUGUUAAAGAAAAUCCUGCAUUGACUGAAUUUAAUGUGAAUUAAAAACCAGGCCUGUUGGCUACAGAAAGCAGAGUUUGAUCCAAUAGGCAUCUAUCUGUAACUCUUCACAUUAACAACCUACAUUGGGGCUGGCUGGAUUUACACAGGCUCAAAGUUUAUAAUUUUUUAACCCUCCAGUAUGUUCCACUUUAAAGCUUGUGAACUUUGGCACCAGCUUAAAAUGAGCACAUGCUCAAUAAGCUAUACUGUUGCUGCAUGAGUACAAACACAGAUGCACACUUAGCGCACACCUUAAAACACAGUAUGCACACACACACACACGAUACACUGCGCUUCCACAUCGGAGUGAACUAGGUUGAGAAAUUUGAAAGAAAACAAACAGGAUUCCAGAGCGGUGCGGUGUGGCGUGAGGCUGCUGGACUGAAGCACAAAGAGAGGCCUGUUCGCAGCGUACAGGAGCAUUCCAGCUAACAGAACAGGCUCUGGGACACUGUUGACCUAAGCUACUUUAGAAUGUUUGUGCAAUACCUUUUGACCACUUGAUUAAAAAUAUCGUUUGAUGCUGGAGCGGCCGUGUCCUAGCAAAGGGCAGUUCAGACUGGUCUGAGCAGAGCAACAUGUUGCUGCAUGAAGGGAAGGCUCUUAUGAAUAGGUGAGCACUGAGCCGUUUGCCUGGAACAGUGAGCCACAGUUGAAACCACUGAGGAUGACCAUCCUGCUGUCUGGCACUUGAUUUUGUAAUUAUAUAAUAUCAAUGCUGCUGAAAGACAGGUGUCAUGUUAGACAUUGUGCCAACUUUUUGAACAUAAUGGGCUAUCUAGGGAUGGCGGUACAUCAGUUUGUCCACCACUUUGGUCUAAACUGAAAUAUUUCUAUUGUAACUAUUGGAUUGGUUGCCAUUAAAUUGUGUACAGACAUUAAUGGUUCCCAGACCAUUGGUGGACCAUGGUUCCAAGCCUCUGCUGUACUUUGUGUUUUGUGUUAAUUAACUAAUGUUAGCAUGCUAACACGCUAAACUACGAAGGUGAACAUGGUAAAGAUUAUUCCAUCUAAACAUCAACAUGUUAGCAUUGUCAUUGUGGCAAUGUAGCAUGCUGAUUUUGAUGCAUUUAGCUUAGUCCUGUAUCUCACAGAGCCUGGCAGGGCUGUUGACUCUAAGUCGUAUUUCUUCACAGAAUCCAACUAAAAGGAAACAAAACCUUGAACAACACUAAAACUAAUUUCCACAUAUAAUAAGUAAACUGAUAAUAUGAUAAUAAAGAAUGUCACUCAAAAGCCAUUAUGUUUUAAUUGAGCUGCUUUGAAAAUUUGGAUAGGGACUAUAACCUGGAUCAGAGAAUACAUAAAAUGGCUUUAGAGAGACAGGUAGUGUUUGUUGAUUUGCUGCCAAAGGUUUCCAAAAUCUUUUCACCAAAUGCUGAAUUGUUUCUUCUAAAUGUCUUUCAUCAUACAAAGGGUCUAGUUCCAAUAUGUGCAGGGCUUAUGUUUAGACAAGUGGGCUGAUGAGAAGAUUGAGAUUUUGGAUUACUGAUUUGCCAAGAAAAUGUAGAUCAGGGAAGUGAAUGCGACCUGCUCUCCUCUCCUUCAGCUAAUACCAUAGAAAUGUCCUUGAGCAAAUUUCUUAACGUCCAAAUUGCUUUGGUGGAGCUGCCCAGUGAACCGACACUAGAAGACUGUGGUUGCACUGGGCAGCUGCCAGGUAUGAAUGUGUGUAACUUUGUAUGUGUGAAGAAGGGUGUUGAUGAAAGAGAGUAUGUGUGCUUGGCAAAUAUUCCCAGGAUAAAUGAAGUCAAAAAGCAAAAGUCUAUACUGAGAUCUAAAAAGAAAAUGUUUGAUGUGGUGGCAUAUUUGUGCUUUGAGGAUGGAGUUAGCUGAAGUCUUGCCCGAGCCUGUUUAGCUUGUUGUGUAUCUUUUGGUUGAGAAGAUGCUGCCUGAGCCCACAGAGAAAAUCUAAAGACAAAUAAUCAAUGUUUCCACAAAACUGCACCAAUUGAUCUUGUUGUCAAAGCCCUAAUAACGAUGAUGAUGUAUGUAAUCUCUUAUGGUAUUGUCUCUCUCAUCUUGUCUCUUUUCAUCUCAUUAAUAAAGUUCAUCUCAUCUCAUCAGUGAAGUUUUAAUCUUACCUAGCCUUACCUCUUCUUAUCUUGUCUCAUCUUAUAACGUAUCUAAUUUUACCUCCUCUAUAAAGACCAUGUUAUCACUUUUUUCACCUCAUUAGUAAAGUUUAUCUUGUCUCGUUUUGUCUUAAUUUUCGUUUCUCAUCGUAUCUCAGUAUAUCUCAUCUCAUCAAUAAAGUUUGUCAUCUCAUUUUAUCUUAUCUCAUUACAUCUCACCUCAUAAAUAAAUUUCAUCUUAUCUCAUGAGUAAAGCUAAUUUAAUUUCAUCUCAUCAAACCUCACCUCUUCUCAUCUUGUUUCAUAUCAUCUCAUCUUGCCUCCUCAUUAAAGUUCAUCUUAACUAUAUAUCUAGAUAUCUUUUUAUCUUGCCAUUUCGUAUUUCUUUUUUUCUCUCGCUAUUAUCAAUUUUUUCUCAUCUUAUUAGUGAAGGUCAUCUUGUCUCUUUUCAUCUCAUCAGCAUGGCUUUUCAUUUAAUUUCACCUCAUCUAACCUCAUCUCUUCUCCUCUUAUCACAUAUUAUAUUAUUUCAUCUUUUCCAUAAAAGUUAGUUAUCUCUUAAUGCAUCUCAUUAGUAAAUUUCAUCUAGUCUCAACUCUUGCCAUAUAAUGAAUGUUAUCUUGUUUUUUCCUUAUCUCAUUAAAGUAAUCUCAUCUCUUCACAUGCAUGUAAAGCAAUAUGAUGUAAUCUAAUCUCCUCUCUUAUUUUAUUUUUUUGUCUAAUUUUGUAUUGUCUCCUUUCUUCUCAUCAACAAAAUUAAUCUGAUCUAAUCAAUAAAAUUCAUCUCACAUCUCAUCUCACCAAUAAUGUUCAUUUUGUCUCAUCUAACCUCACCUCUUCUUAUCUUGUCUCAUCUCAUUUCAUAUCAUCUCAUCUUGCCUCAUAAAUUCCUGUUAUCUAUUUUUUUCCUCAUGUCUUGUCUCAUUUCAUCUCAAUUUCAUCUCAUCACUAAAGCUAAUAUCAUGUCAUCUCAUCUAACCUCACCUUUUCUCAUCUUGUCUCAUCUUUUAUCAUGUGAUCUCAUCUUGCCUCCUUAUUAAAGUUAUAAAGUCAUCUUGUAGGUCAUCUUCUCUUAUUUCAUCUCAGUUUCAUCUCAUCAGUAUAGUUCAUCUCAUGUAAUGUAAUGAAAUCUCAUUUUGUAUUAUCUCUAUAUCACCAUUGUUGUCUCAUUUCAUCAAUUAAGUUAAUCUCGUUAAGUUAAUUUAAUUUCAACUCAUCUAUUCUCACCUCUUUCAUAUGUCAUUACAUAUAUCAUCUCAUACAUACUUAUAUACAUAUAUCAUUAUCUCUUUUUUUCAUCUAAUUUUAUCUCAGUCCCAUCUAAUCUGUGUCUCAUCUUGUCUGGUCUCGUAUCAGCUAUAUCUUGACAGUUGAAGGUAAAUGCCAGACAGUGAAAUGGAAACAAGCAGUCUUAGAAUCCCCCUGGUGUGAAAACAUGACGAACAUAUCACAACACUGUGAGUAAACCGAGGGCCUCCCUCCUUCACUCUUUCCCUCACGUGAGCUCUCUAUCUACCUCUUUGCUUUCCUCUCACAUACAUAUCCUUCCUCUCUCACAGACGUAUCACUAUUCAUAUAUCUGGUGUGUUUGUGACAGCAAGCUGUGUUUGCUGAAUAGCUUUCACCCGACCACCAUUGCCCCACCCAUCAACCCCUCUUAACCUUUGCACUCGACAGUCCCACCUGUCUACUCAAACACACUCACACACACACUCUUCACACCUCUUGUUCUGUUUGCUUUGUCCACCUCUGACGUCAAACGCCUUUCAAUACAGCUGAUUAACAGGUAUAAUUCGCUCAGGGCCAGGAUCUGUAAAAUAAUGGGUGUUCAUUCCUGCUUGUGUGGUGUUGUCUGAGCAACACCAUGGCCACCUAGGAGACACACAUCCAAUACCUCCAUGCCUUCUACACAUCCAUUACCUCCAUGCCUUCCUCCAUCCCUACCUUCAUCCUUCAUUCUUCAUUCCCACCAACGGCGUGGCAGCUGGAGGUUAUGACGUCUGUUACGUUAUACAAGGUCACCGUAGUUUGUCUUCCUGCAUUUUUUCUCCUGGUUACAUUCCUCCAUACAAACAGUCCCCUACAAAUAUGGGGGAUGAUUUGAGUGCAGAGGGAAUAAACUGUUCUGCGCAGGUGUACUAAGGUUUUCUUCAGAGCCUGGAAUUUUAACUUUGAAACGGCAGAAAGAGUACACCUCAAGGAGAACAUUUUAACAGCAAACACUCUGCAUUCCUCCUGCCGGACCGUAGCUGGACUCCAAAGUAAAGUUUACAUUCCUGGGCUGCUGGGAGGAAUGCUGCCCUCUGGGGCUCUGGACCAGACCUGAGGAUUACAAGUCAGGGAUCACAGAUGGAGACUGGGAUGCUCAG